GUCUCGUUCAGUCUCAAGUCCAGCCCUCUCAAGUCUCAGGUUGCCGGUUCAACAGGGCACCCGGACAAGCGUGCCCUGUGGGGAUUGCUGGGUAGGGCCAGCCACCGCCGCCCCGGCUGCCAGCUUUGCCAGGCAGACCUACUGCCUGGCGUCCCGUGUCUUUUUUAUACUUGGGAGUUUCCGCAUUCUGUGGGCAACAAAGAUCAGUCUGGAAAUGCAGCUCCGACUCACCUGUUUGUGGAUUCAACGAGAGCUCCAAUCCUGGGUUGUUCUCACAGCACCAUCUUGAGUCCUCCCUCCGCAAAAUCACAUUUUUAAUAGACACUUAAAGUUUGAGUGACGAUGCCAAUUCAUACUCCCACCAGCAGGGGAAGUAGCUUUUCCCCCUACUUCCUGCCAACAUUUCAUACUAAUAAGGUGUGAAAUCUCUUGAUUCCAGUACCGGAGACGUGAGGAAAUAAGAUAUAAAAUCUGCAAUCCCCAAAGUGAGACUGGAGACAAUCUAUAUUUGUGGAGUAGAUGAGAUGAGCACCCAAGAUGUCUUUUCCUAUUUUAAAGAAUAUCCUCCAGCUCACAUCGAAUGGUUGGAUGAUACCUCCUACAAGCAGGAAGACAGUUCAGAGGAUGAUGAAGCUGAAGAAGGAGAGGUUGAAGACGAGAACACAAGUGACGUAGAGGUUAGUAAUAGGGCGAAGGUAGAUGUCAGGCUCUCUUGUAAAAAAGGCUUACUGUCUUUUUAAUUUAAGUCUUAAAGACUUAGUUGUGUUUUUCCUCUGGCUUUCACCGUGAGACCUUCUGAGGAUGCACAAGGCUCUUGUCCUUUAAGGUCAUGUGGAUGUAAC
rnacentral:lncRNA from 1 species